UACGUCGGGCGCAAGCGUUAUCCGGAAUUAUUGGGCGUAAAGAGCUCGUAGGCGGUUUGUCGUGUCUGCCGUGAAAGUCCGGGGCUCAACUCCGGAUCUGCGGUGGGUACGGGCAGACUAGAGUGAUGUAGGGGAGACUGGAAUUCCUGGUGUAGCGGUGAAAUGCGCAGAUAUCAGGAGGAACACCGAUGGCGAAGGCAGGUCUCUGGGCAUUAACUGACGCUGAGGAGCGAAAGCAUGGGGAGCGAACAGG
rnacentral:rRNA from 1 species